rnacentral:lncRNA from 1 species
GAAAAUCUCAGCUAGCCAAUCAAUAUUGUCGCUCUCAACUAGUGGCCAUAGCUACUGACAUCUUGACCAACAAAAUGAAGGUGCCGAUCACUAGUAUGACAUGUGAACAAACAAAACAGCUCAACCCCUGUUGUCCUCGUCUCUAUCCUUCCGUUGUUCUUAUUGUCUCUCUCCCUGUUGUUCAUAGCUAUGGAUGCAGAGAUCCAGGUAGCAGCACGUAGAGGAUGGAGCAGGGGCUACAUGCAUGCAGAUGCAGCGGUCGGAGCUCCUCCGGAGCAGGCCAACUCUUGGAGGGCAGCAAGUCCAUCAACGACGACAGCGGUUCAGUUGGAUGGCGGAGUUACAAGCCCCGUUUGUAUCCGCUUAUAAGCGGUUUAUUGGUGGAAAUAAGCGAGAAUCCCGCCAAACGCUUUGCUUAUUUCCACCGAUUCUCGCUUAUGUGGUAAGCCGCUUCAACGAUUUGAACUACGAGAAACGAGAAGCGAGAAAAUCUUCGCUUAGAUUAUAAUCCAAGCGUGGCUAGGAAAAGCGUAUACAAACAGGGCCACAGAGCCACAGAGGUGGCUGCCAGGUUUUUUAUUGG